rnacentral:rRNA from 1 species
GACGAACCGUGCGAACGUUAUUCGGAAUCACUGGGCUUAAAGCGCGUGUAGGCGGAUGGGAACGUCGGUCGUUGAAAGCCCCCGGCUCAACCGGGGAACUGGCGCCGAAACGACCCGUCUGGAGGGACGUAGGGGACCUGGAACUUCCGGUGGAGCGGUGAAAUGCGUUGAGAUCGGAAAGGAACGCCCGUGGCGAAAGCGAGGUCCUGGACGUCUACUGACGCUGAGACGCGAAAGCU